GCCCCAAGAGACAGCUAGAGCAUGAGACUCUUAAUCUCAGGGCUGUGGGUUCGAGCCCCGCAUGGGGCA